GACGGAAGGUGCAAGCGUUGCUCGGAAUCACUGGGCGUAAAGGGUGCGUAGGCGGCUUGGUGGGUCUGGUGUGAAAGCCCCGGGCUCAGCCCGGGAAGGGCGCUAGAAACUGCCGAGCUCGAGUGCCGGAGGGGAGAGUGGAAUUCCUGGUGUAGCGGUGAAAUGCGUAGAUAUCAGGAGGAAUACCGAUGGCGAAGGCAGGUCUCUGGGCUGACACUGACGCUCAUGCACGAAAGCGUGGGGAGCAAACAGG
rnacentral:rRNA from 1 species